GUCGAGCGCACCUUCGGGUGAGCGGCGGANGGGUUAGUAACGCGUGGGAACAUACCCUUUGGUACGGAAUAGCCUCUGGAAACGGAGAGUAAUACCGUAUGAGCCCUUCGGGGGAAAGAUUUAUCGCCAAAGGAUUGGCCCGCGUUAGAUUAGGUAGUUGGUGGGGUAAUGGCCUACCAAGCCUACGAUCUAUAGCUGGUUUUAGAGGAUGAUCAGCAACACUGGGACUGAGACACGGCCCAGACUCCUACGGGAGGCAGCAGUGGGGAAUCUUGGACAAUGGGGGCAACCCUGAUCCAGCCAUGCCGCGUGAGUGAUGAAGGCCUUAGGGUCGUAAAGCUCUUUCGCCUGUGAAGAUAAUGACGGUAGCAGGUAAAGAAACCCCGGCUAACUCCGUGCCAGCAGCCGCGGUAAUACGGAGGGGGUUAGCGUUGUUCGGAAUUACUGGGCGUAAAGCGCACGUAGGCGGACUGGAAAGUUGGGGGUGAAAUCCCAGGGCUCAACCCUGGAACUGCCUCCAAAACUAUCAGUCUAGAGUUCGAGAGAGGUGAGUGGAAUUCCGAGUGUAGAGGUGAAAUUCGUAGAUAUUCGGAGGAACACCAGUGGCGAAGGCGGCUCACUGGCUCGAUACUGACGCUGANGUGCGAAAGUGUGGGGAGCAAACAGGAUUAGAUACCCUGNUAGUCCACACCGUAAACGAUGAAUGNCAGUCGUCGGGUAGCAUGCUAUUCGGUGACACACCUAACGGAUUAANCAUUCCGNCUGGGGAGUACGGNCGCNNAUUAAAACUCAAAGGNAAUUGACGGGGGCCCGCACAA
rnacentral:rRNA from 1 species